rnacentral:rRNA from 1 species
GACGUAGGUGGCGAACGUUAUCCGGAUUUAUUGGGCGUAAAGGGCGCGUAGGCGGUCACGCACGUCCGUUGUGAAAUCGCUCGGCUCAACUGGGCGGGGUCAGCGGAUACGGCGUGGCUGGAGCAAGCUAGGGGGCAAUGGAAUUCCCGGUGUAGUGGUGGAAUGCGUAGAUAUCGGGAGGAACACCAGUGGCGAAGGCGGUUGCCUGGAGCUUUGCUGACGCUGAUGCGCGAAAGCGUGGGGAGCGAUCCGG